CAAUAGCGUAUAUUAAAGUUGUUGCAGUUAAAAAGCUCGUAGUUGGAUUUCUGGUAGGAGUGACCGUUCCGAACUUGAUUGUUCGUGUAUUGUGUUUUCUCCAGCCAUCCUUGUGGAGAACUUUUCUUGCAUUAAUUUGUAGGGAUUGGGACCCGCAUCGUUUACUGUGAAAAAAUUAGAGUGUUUAAAGCAGGCAAUCGCUUGAAUACAUUAGCAUGGAAUAAUAAGAUAGGACUUUGGUACUAUUUUGUUGGUUUGCAUACCAAAUUAAUGAUCAACAGGAACAGUUUGAGGAUAUUCGUAUGAACAUGUCGGAGGUGAAAUUCUUGGAUUUUGAUCAGACGAACUACUGCGAAAGCAUUUAUCAAGGAUGUUUUCAUUAA
rnacentral:rRNA from 1 species